rnacentral:tRNA from 1 species
GAAGGUAUAAAUCAGUGGUAGAGCACAUGCCUAGCAUGCACGAGGUCCUGGGUUCAAUCCCUGGUACUUCCA